rnacentral:snRNA from 1 species
AGCCCUGCUCGGCCUGCGGGGCGAAGAUUAAGUGUAGUAUCUGCUCUUAAUUUAAUAUCUACCCGAGGACAAUAUAUGAAAUGGAUUUUUGGAGAGGGGAAAUGGAAUAGGCACUUCCUCCGUCCAUUCCACCCAUCGACCUGGUAUUGCAGUACUUCCAGGUACUUCUUUGUUCCUUCU